AAGGGCAGGUGUAACUAAUGACAUUAAUGAUGUCUCCAUUCCAUUAGGACAAACAUUUGGGUGUGUCAGUAUGAGCCAGCAUGCACAGUCUCUGGAAUCUGAUACUGGAGUGCAGCCACUGUUGAUUAAUGUCAUUAGAUACACCUGUGUUCAGAUGCAGGGGCCUGGAAAGUGACACCAAGUCUAACUUUAUCUCGGCCUUUUUAUUUUUUUCUUAAAACUUUCAUCAACGUUUUUUUUAAAAAAACAAAGUGGAUGUUACUCCAUGUGUUGAUUGGCUGCUGAAUGCUCAUGUGUUGGAGAAAGAAAGUUUGGCUGAUAAGCUGAAAGACUGAGAGAGAAAGAGCUGAGCUGAGCUGAGAAGUGGCUGCAGCGUGUCUAAAUGGAUGAAUUUAUCCCUUCAAAACAAGUGAGGCUGAAGAACUGAUGGAUGUUUCCUGAAGGUUCGGUCAACAUUUCUUCACACUGAUUAUUAAAGGACUGAAGAGCAAAGAGCCAUUUGUGGGAUUUUUUCCAGUCUUUUGCUGGCUCAUUGCUUUUUCGGGACAUGGCGCCACCACCAGCAUCAGUGGAAUAGCUUUUGGGAAACCGACAGAUCGAGAAGACAGAUAAGGGGAUAGAGAGAAGGGGAGAGAUGAGGAUUAAGAGGUAUUCUCAUCAGGGGGCUUGUGAAUCCUCACCUUGAACACUGAACUUGAGCUGAUCCUGCCAUGCCAUCGGCGAUCUGGUUUAGCCAGUAUUCCCAGCAAUCUUCUCCAACGCUGCUUGUCUGAGUGCUUUAAUUUGACUGGCUGAGGUUUCCAUGUGGAACCACUAAUGAAAGUGCCUUCAGGAUGCACUGACAGAGCUCUGGGGAAUCACUCCGGCUAUAUCCUUUAAGAGAUCUGUAAGGUUAACAUUGCUUUCAGUAAUUAAAGUAGAUUUG